UACGGAGGGUGCAAGCGUUAUCCGGAUUCACUGGGUUUAAAGGGUGCGUAGGUGGGCUAGUAAGUCCGUGGUGAAAUCUCCAAGCUUAACUUGGAAACUGCCGUGGAUACUAUUAGUCUUGAAUAUUGUGGAGGUAAGCGGAAUAUGUCAUGUAGCGGUGAAAUGCUUAGAUAUGACAUAGAACACCGAUAGCGAAGGCAGCUUGCUACACAAUCAUUCACACUGAGGCACGAAAGCGUGGGGAUCAAACAGG
rnacentral:rRNA from 1 species